GACGAACGCUGGCGGCGUGCCUAAUACAUGCAAGUAGAACGCACAGUUUAUACCGUAGCUUGCUACACCAUAGACUGUGAGUUGCGAACGGGUGAGUAACGCGUAGGUAACCUGCCUGGUAGCGGGGGAUAACUAUUGGAAACGAUAGCUAAUACCGCAUAAUAUUAAUUAUUGCAUGAUAAUUAAUUGAAAGGAGCAAUUGCACCACUACCAGAUGGACCUGCGUUGUAUUAGCUAGUAGGUGAGGUAACGGCUCACCUAGGCGACGAUACAUAGCCGACCUGAGAGGGUGAUCGGCCUCACUGGGACUGAGACACGGCCCAGACUCCUACGGGAGGCAGCAGUAGGGAAUCUUCGGCAAUGGACGAAAGUCUGACCGAGCAACGCCGCGUGAGUGAAGAAGGUUUUCGGAUCGUAAAGCUCUGUUGUAAGAGAAGAACGGGUGUGAGAGUGGAAAGUUCACACUGUGACGGUAUCUUACCAGAAAGGGACGGCUAACUACGUG
rnacentral:rRNA from 1 species